AGAGUUUGAUCAUGGCUCAGGACGAACGCUGGCGGCGCGCCUAACACAUGCAAGUCGAACGGGACUACAUUCGGGAAGUUUUCGGAUGGAACAGAUGCAGUUUAGUGGCGGACGGGUGAGUAACACGUGAGCAACCUGCCUUCGAGAGGGGAAUAACGGCUGGAAACGGUCGCUAAUACCGUAUAAUGUAUCGGGAGGACAUCCUCCUGGUACCAAAGAUUUAUCGCUCGAAGAUGGGCUCGCGUCCGAUUAGGUAGUUGGUGAGGUAACGGCCCACCAAGCCGACGAUCGGUAGCCGGACUGAGAGGUUGAACGGCCACAUUGGGACUGAGACACGGCCCAG
rnacentral:rRNA from 1 species